UUCGUCACACCUUAUACCUUCGUCAACUUCAAGCUUCGUCAACUUCAAGCUUCGUCGACUUUGUUCAGACUUAAGCUUCGUCGACUUUGUUCAACUUCAAGCUUCGUCGACUUUGUUCAACUUCAAGCUUCAUUAAGCUUCAUCGACUUUGUUCAACUUCAAGCUUCGUCGACUUUGUUCAACAUACAUCACGGCCCAAUAGAUUUUAAAAGGUAUUAUCAUUCAUAUAUCAAAUAUGAGUACUACAAGUCCAUGGGAUUGGAGUACGGACCCACGACCAGGUCAAGAUCAGACUUCGGCAGCCGGAUGGUUAAGAAAUGUAGUGCCUCAAUAAUCGAUUAGUGAGAGUCAAUGGGCAUUGGUGACGAACCAGAAUCAAAGCAUUCAAAAUCUAUUGAUAAGUAAGAGCGAAACGGGAAGCAAUAAUCGCCCGCCAGGUCAAGAUCAGACUUUAUGUGGACGCGACUCGACUCGGUUCGAUUCGGUUCGGUUCGACUCGGUUAGGUUCGGCUCAAGCCCGACGUCACAACAUUCCUCCGUCGUACGCCCCAGAGUUCGACACGCGAAGCACGGAGAGCCGCGAACCGUUCCCGCCGACACAUCAUCAUGACAUCACCAUGAUGAUGUCAUGAUGACAUCAUGAUGAUCUCAUGAGAAGACUUUACAUUUACAUGAAAUGAACAUGACGAAGGUUACAUGAAAGCAACAUGAUGAAGGUUCAACCUUCACCAACCUUCACCAUGAACAUAUAUGACGAAGGUUGAAUGCCAUAUAGGACGAAGGUUAGACCUUCGUCAUACAUAACCUUCGUCUGAGAAGGUUCGUCAAGUGGACAGUAUAUAUAGCACAGAUGUUAACAGUUUUAGUCAUGAGAUUAUUGUGAGACUCCACGAGAGCUGAGAGACUUGUGAGAGUUUAUUGUACAAGCAUUGUGUGUAUAUGUUUGUGAAUGUUCUCAUCCAUUAUCGAAGUUAAUCUUUGGUUACUUGCUGAUCCUCCGGGAAAAACGGACCUACAAGAAGCAAGCUCCAAGAAGUUUUUAGAGUAA
rnacentral:lncRNA from 1 species